GGAGGAGAAAGAGGAGGAGGAGGCGGCUGCUGCUGCUGCUGCUGCUGCUGGCGGUGACGGCGGCGGAGCAGAAUGUUUACAUCGCUGCUGAGCCGCCAGCCCCGGCGGCGAGAGAUGCCAGCUCUAAGGUUUUGAGUCUUCUGAAACUGAAGUCUGCAAGUAGGAAAACAUCAUGAUCCCAGAGAAGAGCUUCAUUGUUUAUUCCUACCAUGAUCAAUGAUACCCCUGACUGGCUCACACCCGGAAGAAGGGAAA